rnacentral:rRNA from 1 species
AUACGUAGGGGGCAAGCGUUAUCCGGAUUUACUGGGUGUAAAGGGAGCGUGGACGGCAAAGCAAGUCUGAAGUGAAAGCCCCGGGCUCAACCCGGGAAUUGCUUUGGAAACUGUUUAGCUGGAGUGCAGGAGAGGUAAGCGGAAUUCCUAGUGUAGCGGUGAAAUGCGUAGAUAUUAGGAGGAACACCGGCGGCGAAGGCGGCUUACUGGACUGUAACUGACGUUGAGGCUCGAAAGCGUGGGGAGCAAACAGGAUUAGAUACCCUGGUAGUCCACGCCGUAAACGAUGAUUACUAGGUGUUGGUUGUCAUAGACAAUCGGUGCCGCAGCAAACGCAAUAAGUAAUCCACCUGGGGAGUACGUUCGCAAGAAUGAAACUCAAAUGAAUUGACGGGG